GACGAACGCUGGCGGCGUGCUUAACACAUGCAAGUCGAACGGAAAGGCCCUGCUUUUGUGGGGUGCUCGAGUGGCGAACGGGUGAGUAACACGUGAGUAACCUGCCCUUGACUUUGGGAUAACUUCAGGAAACUGGGGCUAAUACCGGAUAGGAGCUCCUGCUGCAUGGUGGGGGUUGGAAAAUGUCGGCGGUAGGGGAUGGACUCGCGGCUUAUGAGCUUGUUGGUGGGGUAGUGGCUUACAAAGGCUUUGACGGGUAGCCGGCCUGGGAGGGUGACCGGCCACAUUGGGACUGCGAUACGGCCCAGACUCCUACGGGCGGCAGCAGUGGGGAAUAUUGCACAAUGGGCGGAAGCCUGAUGCAGCAACGCCGCGUGCGGGAUGACGGCCUUCGGGUUGUAAACCGCUGUCGCCUGUGACGAAGCGUGAGUGACGGUAAUGGGUAAAGAAGCACCGGCUAACUACGUG
rnacentral:rRNA from 1 species